rnacentral:rRNA from 1 species
AGGACGAACGCUGGCGGCGUGCUUAACACAUGCAAGUCGAGCGGAAAGGCCCUUCGGGGUACUCGAGCGGCGAACGGGUGAGUAACACGUGAGCAACCUGCCCCUGGCUCUGGGAUAGCCUCCGGAAACGGGGAUUAAUACCGGACAUUCACUGCCUGCCGCAUGGUGGGUGGUGGAAAGUUUUUCGGCCAGGGAGGGGCUCGCGGUCUAUCAGCUUGUUGGCGGGGUAACGGCCCACCAAGGCGACGACGGAUAGCCGGCCUGAGAGGGCGAUCGGCCACACUGGGACUGAGACACGGCCCAGACUCCUACGGGAGGCAGCAGUGGGGAAUAUUGCACAAUGGGCGCAAGCCUGAUGCAGCGACGCCGCGUGGGGGAUGAAGGCCUUCGGGUUGUAAACCCCUUUCACCAGGAGCGAAUUCAGACGGUACCGUGGGGAAGAAGCGCCGGCUAACUACGCGCCAGCAGCCGC